rnacentral:rRNA from 1 species
UACGUAGGGUGCGAGCGUUAAUCGGAAUUACUGGGCGUAAAGCGUGCGCAGGCGGUUCGUUGUGUCGGUGGUGAAAUCCCCGGGCUUAACCUGGGAACUGCAUUGGUGACUGCAUCGCUCGAGUAUGGCAGAGGGGGGUAGAAUUCCACGUGUAGCAGUGAAAUGCGUAGAGAUGUGGAGGAAUACCGAUGGCGAAGGCAGCCCCCUGGGUCAAUACUGACGCUCAUGCACGAAAGCGUGGGGAGCAAACAGG